rnacentral:rRNA from 1 species
UACAGAGGUCCCGAGCGUUGUUCGGAUUCAUUGGGCGUAAAGGGUGCGUAGGCGGCUUUCUAAGUCCGGUGUGAAAUCCCCGGGCUCAACCUGGGAACUGCAUCUGUGACUGCAUAGCUAGAGUACGGUAGAGGGGGAUGGAAUUCCGCGUGUAGCAGUGAAAUGCGUAGAUAUGCGGAGGAACACCGAUGGCGAAGGCAAUCCCCUGGACCUGUACUGACGCUCAUGCACGAAAGCGUGGGGAGCAAACAGG